rnacentral:rRNA from 1 species
AUUGAACGCUGGCGGCAGGCCUAACACAUGCAAGUCGAGCGGAUGACGGGAGCUUGCUCCUUGAUUCAGCGGCGGACGGGUGAGUAAUGCCUAGGAAUCUGCCUGGUAGUGGGGGACAACGUUUCGAAAGGAACGCUAAUACCGCAUACGUCCUACGGGAGAAAGCAGGGGACCUUCGGGCCUUGCGCUAUCAGGUGAGCCUAGGUCGGAUUAGCUAGUUGGUGGGGUAAUGGCUCACCAAGGCGACGAUCCGUAACUGGUCUGAGAGGAUGAUCAGUCACACUGGAACUGAGACACGGUCCAGACCCCUACGGGAGGCAGCAGUGGGGAAUAUUGGACAAUGGGCGAAAGCCUGAUCCAGCCAUGCCGCGUGUGUGAAGAAGGUCUUCGGAUUGUAAAGCACUUUAAGUUGGGAGGAAGGGCAGUAAGUUAAUACCUUGCUGUUUUGACGUUACCGACAGAAUAAGCACCGGCUAACUCUGUGCCAGCCGCCGCCGUAA